rnacentral:rRNA from 1 species
CAGGACGAACGCUGGCGGCGUGCCUAACGCAUGCAAGUCGAACGGAGUCAAAAAGCUGCUUUUGACUUAGUGGCGGACGGGUGAGUAACGCGUGAGUAACCUGCCUCUGAGAGGGGAAUAACGUUCUGAAAAAGAACGCUAAUACCGCAUAACGUAUCGAAGCCGCAUGACUUUGAUACCAAAGAUUUUAUCGCUCGGAGAUGGACUCGCGUCCGAUUAGUUAGUUGGUGAGGUAACGGCUCACCAAGACCCGCGAUCGGUAGCCGGACUGAGAGGUUGAUCGGCCACAUUGGGACUGAGACACGGCCCAGACUCCUACGGGAGGCAGCAGUGGGGGAUAUUGCGCAAUGGGGGCAACCCUGACGCAGCAACGCCGCGUGCAGGAAGACGGCCUUCGGGUUGUAAACUGUUGUCGCAAGGGAAGAAGAAAGUGACGGUACCUUGUGAGAAAGCCACGGCUAACUACGUGCCAGCCGCCGC